rnacentral:rRNA from 1 species
UACGUAGGGACCAAGAGUUGUUCGGAUUUACUGGGCGUAAAGAGCGCGCAGGCGGUCGUUCAAGUCGCGUGUGAAAGCCCCCGGCUCAACUGGGGAGGGUCACGCGAUACUGAUCGACUCGAAGGCAGGAGAGGGUAGUGGAAUUCCCGGUGUAGUGGUGAAAUGCGUAGAUAUCGGGAGGAACACCAGUGGCGAAGGCGACUACCUGGCCUGUUCUUGACGCUGAGGCGCGAAAGCUAGGGGAGCAAACGGG